rnacentral:rRNA from 1 species
ACGGAGGGGGCGAGCGUUAUUCGGAUUUACUGGGCGUAAAGCGUGUGUAGGCGGUCGUGUAAGUCUGGUGUGAAAUCUUCACCGCUCAACGGGAAGAGGUCACUGGAAACUGCACGACUAGAGUAUGGAAGAGGCAAGCGGAAUUCCUGGUGGAGCGGUGGAAUGUGCAGAUAUCAGGAAGAACACCGGUGGCGAAGGCGGCUUGCUGGGCCAUUACUGACGCUGAGACACGAAAGCGUGGGGAGCGAACGG